CUUGCUCCUCUGAUUUAGCGGCGGACGGGUGAGUAACACGUGGGUAAUCUGCCUGUAAGACGGGGAUAACUCCGGGAAACCGGGGCUAAUACCGGAUAACAAGAGAAGAAGCAUUUCUUCUUUUUGAAAGUCGGUUUCGGCUGACACUUACAGAUGAGCCCGCGGCGCAUUAGCUAGUUGGUGAGGUAACGGCUCACCAAGGCGACGAUGCGUAGCCGACCUGAGAGGGUGAUCGGCCACACUGGGACUGAGACACGGCCCAGACUCCUACGGGAGGCAGCAGUAGGGAAUCUUCGGCAAUGGGCGAAAGCCUGACCGAGCAACGCCGCGUGAGCGAUGAAGGCCUUCGGGUCGUAAAGCUCUGUUGUUAGAGAAGAACAAGUACGAGAGUAACUGCUCGUACCUUGACGGUACCUAACCAGAAAGCCACGGCUAACUACGUGCCAGCAGCCGCGGUAAUACGUAGGUGGCAAGCGUUAUCCGGAAUUAUUGGGCGUAAAGCGCGCGCAGGCGGUCUCUUAAGUCUGAUGUGAAAGCCCACGGCUCAACCGUGGAGGGUCAUUGGAAACUGGGAGACUUGAGUGCAGGAGAGAAAAGUGGAAUUCCACGUGUAGCGGUGAAAUGCGUAGAGAUGUGGAGGAACACCAGUGGCGAAGGCGGCUUUUUUGGCCUGUAACUGACGCU
rnacentral:rRNA from 1 species